rnacentral:lncRNA from 1 species
UGGACGGCCAGCAAGGCCUCAGUGCCCUGCACAGUUUAAGCUGAGCCAGAUGUUCUUCCUGUUUCCUUGCUUGAUCCUCCCUCUUGCCGACGCCCUCACCUGGAGGAGUCAAGCCCAGCACAGAUGCCACUGAGACAGGUCAAAGCCAGGGAAAGUUCCUGGGAUCAAAACUUGGCUAAGUAUGAUCCAAACUUCCAAGCAGUCAGAAGUAGAAAGAGCCAGAAGAUAAAUCUAACCCAUUUUUGAAGGCGUGCCAAAGGUGAAAAGCAGGAAAACCAAAAUUACUCAUCAAGUCUAAAGGGGGAGCACAGAGCCAGAAGCUGAGAGGAGAAGAGGAGUCAAGCAAGUCAGUGCCAGAGAAGAAGCAACAGUAAUUUAAACUUUUCUGCUAUGUGACCUACACUCCACAGGAUGGUGCUGGUGUGCACAGGGAGCAGCCACGUCAGUUUACACAUUUGCCAAGGUAUC